UUCCGACUGAAGACGACGAAAUGCUUGGGUCACUUCCAGUUGCGGCAACUUUUUCUUUUAGCCACGUCAUCAACUUGGGGGAAAUGAGACCUUUGGUCAAUAAUUCGUUGGGUGAAGUCUCAACCGUACCGAAAUACGUGGCCUUCUCAAACACUUGGAUGUCUUUGAAUGGAAUUUCUGCUCGGCUGGCUUGUAGGAGACCAUUUUCUUCUUUUGCUUGAAACAGAAAAGGAGAUGUUGUCUCCGCAUGGAUGGCCGUUCUGUUAUUCUACUCCUUGGAAGUGUAUCUUCAACAACACACGCCCUUUCAAGUAAGCAAUCAAUUAAUAAAAAUGCAUUAUUUGUUACUACCCAGCAUGAGACCAACUAUAACAACAAUAGUAACAGUACCAACACCACCACCAACAAUCAGUAUACAAACACGCUUAAUAUUCACUAUUAGUUGAUCAAGGAAUGUUUUCGUUUUAGUCUUGAGAAUUUGUAUUUUUAGCGCCAUCAUCGAUAACUUGGG